GGCGAACGGGUGAGUAACACGUGAGCAACCUGCCCUGGACUCUGGGAUAAGCGCUGGAAACGGCGUCUAAUACUGGAUAUGAGCUCUCAUCGCAUGGUGGGGGUUGGAAAGAUUUUUCGGUCUGGGAUGGGCUCGCGGCCUAUCAGCUUGUUGGUGAGGUAAUGGCUCACCAAGGCGUCGACGGGUAGCCGGCCUGAGAGGGUGACCGGCCACACUGGGACUGAGACACGGCCCAGACUCCUACGGGAGGCAGCAGUGGGGAAUAUUGCACAAUGGGCGGAAGCCUGAUGCAGCAACGCCGCGUGAGGGAUGACGGCCUUCGGGUUGUAAACCUCUUUUAGCAGGGAAGAAGCGAGAGUGACGGUACCUGCAGAAAAAGCGCCGGCUAACUACGUGCCAGCAGCCGCGGUAAUACGUAGGGCGCAAGCGUUAUCCGGAAUUAUUGGGCGUAAAGAGCUCGUAGGCGGUUUGUCGCGUCUGCUGUGAAAUCCCGAGGCUCAACCUCGGGCCUGCAGUGGGUACGGGCAGACUAGAGUGCGGUAGGGGAGAUUGGAAUUCCUGGUGUAGCGGUGGAAUGCGCAGAUAUCAGGAGGAACACCGAUGGCGAAGGCAGAUCUCUGGGCCGUAACUGACGCUGAGGAGCGAAAGGGUGGGGAGCAAACAGGCUUAGAUACCCUGGUAGUCCACCCCGUAAACGUUGGGAACUAGUUGUGGGGACCAUUCCACGGUUUCCGUGACGCAGCUAACGCAUUAAGUUCCCCGCCUGGGGAGUACGGCCGCAAGGCUAAAACUCAAAGGAAUUGACGGGGACCCGCACAAGCGGCGGAGCAUGCGGAUUAAUUCGAUGCAACGCGAAGAACCUUACCAAGGCUUGACAUACACCAGAACACCGUAGAAAUACGGGACUCUUUGGACACUGGUGAACAGGUGGUGCAUGGUUGUCGUCAGCUCGUGUCGUGAGAUGUUGGGUUAAGUCCCGCAACGAGCGCAACCCUCGUUCUAUGUUGCCAGCACGUAAUGGUGGGAACUCAUGGGAUACUGCCGGGGUCAACUCGGAGGAAGGUGGGGAUGACGUCAAAUCAUCAUGCCCCUUAUGUCUUGGGCUUCACGCAUGCUACAAUGGCCGGUACAAAGGGCUGCAAUACCGUGAGGUGGAGCGAAUCCCAAAAAGCCGGUCCCAGUUCGGAUUGAGGUCUGCAACUCGACCUCAUGAAGUCGGAGUCGCUAGUAAUCGCAGAUCAGCAACGCUGCGGUGAAUACGUUCCCGGGUCUUGUACACACCGCCCGUCAAGUCAUGAAAGUCGGUAACACCUGAAGCC
rnacentral:rRNA from 1 species